UCGGUCCCUGCUCCUGCCAACCUGGCAGUUCAAAAGCAUGUCAAUGUGCAAGUAGAUCAAUAGGUACCACUCCGGCGGGAAGGUACAGCCAGAAGCUGUACUCCGGCUCCCUUGACCAAUAAAGCGAGAUGAGCGCCGCAACCCCAGAGUCGGACAUGACUGGACCUAAUGGUCAGGGGUCCCUUUAGCUUUACCUUUAUAAUUUAUAAGCUAAACUUCCCCAAAUCCCUCUACCGUUCCUCAUCAGGCUUGGUUUACGCAGGACACUUGUUACAUUGAAUUGCACUUGCCAUGUUACUGCCCAUUCACUCAUUUCAGAGGGGACCUUUUGGAGACCCCUUUUUCCUUUCACCCCCCCCCCCACAAUGUACUAACAUACUCAACUUUGGCCACCUCACUGCUCUUCCCUGACGCUGGACUGUUGAGGAACAAGUUAAAAAGGAAGAAGCCCCCUCUUUUCCCUCCCCGAUCCUUGUGACUCCCAGUUCCCCUCACCCCUCACCAUUGGCCAUGCUGCCUGAGGCUGAUGGGAGUUGGAGUCCAAGGAAGUCAGGGGGGUUCCACAGGUUCUCCAUCCCUGCCCUACAGCACCCCAGACACACAGGCCGCUUCCCUGUUUGAAUAGCUUUGAAAUGCGAAAGGCGAGAGGCAAAGUGGAGGCAGUGAUUUAUUUGUGUCUUGAGACAAACAGAUGCCAACGAUAACAGCGACAUUUAUGGGGACCAGGAAAUAGGAACAGCCCCUGGUAAAGAGGGACAGUAAGAGUGCUUGCAUUUUGCUGCCAUGAUACCAGAGGCAGGUUGCCAGCCUGGCUCUGUAGGCGGCAGACAGCGUCCUGGCAAAGUGUGGCAAUGCCCUUCUCUUUUUCUUCUCCCAGCAGGUGCCCUGAUAGUAAACGGGAGCUGAGAGGCCUCUGCUUGCUGUUCACCCUCUGGGGUUACAGAAGGGGUUAAAGAGCCCUUUGCUGGUGAGGAUGAGCUGGUGGGAUGAGGCUAAUUCUGCGAGCCUUUCAGUCCUUUCUUAGUAUCGCCCUGUUAAAAAUGAGGGACUGUGAAUAUGAAGGGCCACAAGAGGGGAGAAUGGGGAAACUCCCCAAACCUCUUGAGUUCCUGCCAUCUUCAGACUCCUGCAAAGCCCACUCAGAAAGCCCACAAUUCCCAUUCAUGAUUCUAGUAUAGUGUCUUCCAAACGUGGGUCUCCAGCUGUUUUUGGACUACAGUUCCCAUCAUCCCUGACCACUGGUCCUGCUUGCUAGGGAUGAUGGGAGUUGUGGUUCAUCCGAAGCAGGAGACGCAAAUUUGGUAAACACUGUUCUAGUCCACCUGUUGUCCACUCUACGUGAUAGGCAAGGCUUGGAACAGUAUCAUACUUUUUAUUUACUCUUCUGUGCCCUCCUUGCUUCUCUCUUCUUCCAGCCAACAUCCAGCUAGUCAGUGAUUGUUCCACUCUUCCCUCAUUUAUGCAAUUUAUGCAAACCCCUCCACACCCAAAUAUAUGCAAAUAUGUUUGGAUUUGCACAAACCAUACUGGGCCCAGGCUUCAUUGUCUCUUCAUGCAGAAUUUUUGAGUCCUCCCCUUUUAAAAAACAAAUAUAUGCAGCUCACAGCAAGCUGCUGUUAUCUCAGAAGCCAGCUUUUACCAGAGAGUGGCUGCCUCGUGGACCUACAAGACUGUCCAGUUUCUCAGGGCGGCUGUGAAGCCGAGAGAUCUUAUUUGAAGAUUUUAACAGUGGAUAGCGGGCUCACCAAGUCCUAGACUAGUCGGGUAGUGAAGAGGGGAGUGUUCUGCUGGUAUAAACAUCAUCAGAGUUGUACCGAUGGGUCAGAAGGGAGGACUCGAGAACACAUAGGGCGGUGGUCAACUAACUCCUUCUUGUAGGAGACCCAUUGAAGUUAACGAACCCAAGUUAACCAUGUCCAUUAGCUUAAAUGGGUCUGCUUGGAGUAGGACUUGUGUUGAAUCCCACCCCUAGUAUCAGCCAUGUAGGACCUUAUUAGGUCGUUUUGACAGUCAUCAUAAGCACCGAAGCAAAGUCCAGGAAUCGUAAGUAACUCUUUUGGGAAUGUUCUUUUAAUACUUGGAUCGCCAAACAUCUCACAUAUACUCCUAAUUUUAUACCAGCAGAGGUUGGGCAAGUAUUGACGAGGAAUAAUUUGGGGGUUACUGCAGUGUCUGACAAUUUGUUACCUAGAUGAAGUGGGUGGAUGUUGAUAGGGGGAAAGGGGGCCAGUGCCAAGCAGCCUGGGGAAAACAGUAGUCAGGCACUCUUGACUUCCAGGAGGGUGGUUGUGUGUGUGUGUGCAAAAGCCACAAUUUUGGAGCUGAUUUUCAGAAUUUUUGGAGUAAAAUUAGAACGCCUGGAGUCAAAGUGUGAUUUCCCACUUCAUGAACACACUUGAACUUGUAUCACACACAUACACACCCACCCACCCACUAAGCCAGACUGUGAAGCUCACCAUUUCAUACUUGGCUGCAAGAGACUGCAAGAUGUGUGUGGCUGGUGGGUGCAGGUCUGUGCCUCCUCAUAGGCGAGCAGAGACCCACAAAUUGGAGCCGGCCUUGGUAGCCAGCCAGAAUUUGCACUUGCCACUCGCUUUACUUCUCCUUGUAAUGGGGGAGAAAUGUCCCGCUGAGCUCUGGAGGCUUUUUCAGAACGAAUAAAUACCAAAGGGACAAGCCUUCUCUCAAACUCCAAAUCCAUGUGAGUGUUGAGGGAACUUCCUCAAUGCUCUUCCAAGAGGCUCCACAUGAGGGCCAGGAAGAUCCUCUGAUGCCUUCUCUGAGCUAAGGAGAAGGCAGAAUAAUCUCCCAGGUUUCGGGCUGGGUUUCGGGGAUGAGAUCUGUCACUGUUACCCACGUAAUUCCAAGGCGCUGAGUGCAAAAAAGUCUGAAGUGCAAGACGGUCUGAGGACUCUGCCCUGUAUCUGAGUGGGGAUUUCACCAGAUUACAAAAAAUGGUGUCACCUGUGGAGGUUGUAUACUCAUAAAAACCCUCUACAAUUCCUUCACUCCUUGGCUAAGGUGUAAACCAGCAUAUCAGCAAGUACUAACCAUGGGAGUGAAAAUGAGGCUCCACUCAAAUUAUGAGGGAAAAGAUACAGGCUUAGUGAAAUCCACAAGUCCUACCCAUUGACUGUCCCAAAUUUAAGUCAAAUCAUGCCCCCAUGCUCCCCAUAGCCGUUCAAGAACAGUAGCUAAGGGAGUGUUCACAAAAAGGAAGGGCCACUGGCCCACUCUGCCUCCAGUUUAAUACAAGCACUGGCUCUGCUCCUACCACCAUCUGCCAGGCCUUUAACAAGGCCUAAGUUCCACCUCUUGGUCAUUGUUUGUUGACAACCCAGUUACGUAGUAAUUCUUUGUAGCUUUGUUUUAUUUCAACAUUUCUUCAGUCCUGGCUACUUGGAGGUUGACAGCCACUAGCAAAGUCUCUGCCAUGGUAGAAGGGAGAUUUCCUCCCACAAAGUCGUAACACCAAAGAGCAGAAAAGCAGUAUCAUCCAGUACCAUGUUUGUUCCUUGGGAUAAGGUUGCCCUUGUUCUUCGUCUAGCUAUUUGAUUAUGAUUCUGUUAUUCUAUGAUCUGAGCAGGAGUGAGGAGCUAGCAGCCUGCAGGCCAGAUCUGUCCCACCCCCACAAGCCUUUCCUACUAGAAACUGAAUAUUGGGGCUGGCCCAGUUGGACAGUUUCCUUUUUUUAAAAGAAGUUGGAUUUUAUUUUCAUUUGUAUGGAUUAAUUUGAAGAAAUUAAACAUCUCACAUUUUUGUUUC